rnacentral:rRNA from 1 species
GACGAACGCUGGCGGCGUGCUUAACACAUGCAAGUCGAACGAAGUGGCGAAGGGGUGAGUAACGCGUAAUCAACCUGCUCUUCAGCGGGGGACAACAGUUGGAAACGACUGCUAAUACCGCAUACUGAAGGCGGGGAGUGCGUCUGAUUAGCUAGUUGGGGGGGUAACGGCCGACCAAGGCGAUGAUCAGUAGACGGUCUGGAGAGAUGGACGGCCCCAAUUGGGCUGGGACACGGCCCAGAAUCCUACGGGGGGCAGCAGGGGGGGAACUUCCGGAAAUGACGAAAGUCUGGCCGGGGAACGGCGCGUGAGUGAUGACAGCCUUCGGGUUGUAAAGAUUUGUUAGUCGGGGCGCGGUACCGGAAUAGAAAGCCACGGCUAACUACGUGCCAGCAGCCGCGGUAAUAC